rnacentral:rRNA from 1 species
AGAGUUUGAUCCUGGCUCAGGACGAACGCUGGCGGCGUGCCUAACACAUGCAAGUCGAACGGAGAAUUUCAAAGAGCUUGCUUGGAGAAAUUUUUAGUGGCGGACGGGUGAGUAACGCGUGGGUAACCUACCCAUAAAAGCCGGGACAACCCUUGGAAACGAGGGCUAAUACCGGAUAAUCUUAAGUUUUGGCAUCAAGA